rnacentral:rRNA from 1 species
AAGGCUAAAUACUCCUGACUGACCGAUAGUGAACCAGUACCGUGAGGGAAAGGCGAAAAGAACCCCGGCGAGGGGAGUGAAAAAGAACCUGAAACCGUGUACGUACAAGCAGUGGGAGCACCCUUUGGGGUGUGACUGCGUACCUUUUGUAUAAUGGGUCAGCGACUUAUAUUCUGUAGCAAGGUUAACCGUAUAGGGGAGCCGGAGGGAAACCGAGUCUUAACCGGGCGUUAAGUUGCAGGGUAUAGACCCGAAACCCGGUGAUCUAGCCAUGGGCAGGUUGAAGGUUGGGUAACACUAACUGGAGGACCGAACCGACUAAUGUUGAAAAAUUAGCGGAUGACCUGUGGCUGGGGGUGAAAGGCCAAUCAAACCGGGAGAUAGCUGGUUCUCCCCGAAAGCUAUUUAGGUAGCGCCUCGUGAAUUCAUCUCCGGGGGUAGAGCACUGUUUCGGCUAGGGGGCCAUCCCGGCUUACCAACCCGAUGCAAACUGCGAAUACCGGAGAAUGUUAUCACGGGAGACACACGGCGGGUGCUAACGUCCGUCGUGAAGAGGGAAACAACCCAGACCGCCAGCUAAGGUCCCAAAGUCAUGGUUAAGUGGGAAACGAUGUGGGAAGGCCCAGACAGCCAGGAUGUUGGCUUAGAAGCAGCCAUCAUUUAAAGAAAGCGUAAUAGCUCACUGGUCGAGUCGGCCUGCGCGGAAGAUGUAACGGGGCUAAACCAU